rnacentral:misc_RNA from 1 species
AAGUCGUAACAAGGUUUCCGUAGGUGAACCUGCGGAAGGAUCAUUACAGAGUUCAUGCCCUUCGGGGUAGACCUCCCACCCUGUGUAUUUAUUACCUUUGUUGCUUUGGCGGGCCGACAGGCUCCGGCCUGGCCCCUGGCUUCGGCGAGGGCGUGCCCGCCAGAGGACCCUAAAACCUGCAUGUUAGUGUCGUCUGAGUACUAUAUAAUAGUUAAAA